rnacentral:piRNA from 1 species
AGGUUGUCCGUGACUAUUACCCCG